CCUCGAUCCCAGGCCGAGUUUUCGCUUUUAUAACGGUUAGGCGAACAACUGGGCCUGGUACUAGUUGUCUGCGCAUGCGUCAGUCGUUCGUCAGAUUCUGACAAAUGGAUAUUCUUGUUCACUUUCGUGACAUUUAUAUUCGUGUACUAUCGUGUACUAGAAGUCAGUUCCCGUUUUAUCAUUAUUGGAAUCGAUUGGAAUGGCUCUUAGCUGAAGCUUCUCUCUUCUCUGAAGCUUAUUCUGAAGACUGAACAACAAGGGAAGAGGUAUAAAGCUUUGUCAAGCUUGUUAAGGUCAGAUAUUUUUGUGUGGGCCCUAUGGCAGGCUAUGCUAUCAAGUCUUGUUCAUGUUUGGCAAGAAUGUAGGUAGACUAUAGUUUCAUCAUUAAUAUGGUGGAUCAAGUGAAGAGUGUGAGCUAGAGAACUUGGUGCUGCCAUCAUCAGCUCGUCGACAAUGACACUAUAACCGAGAAAUUUAAUAUGUAUAGAUCUACACGUAUUUAAAAUGUCUACUUCUCUGUACAGGAGCAAUGGCUAAUAUCCAACUAUCCCAACAGUGCUCCUCUUGGCUAUACUAACGGACGAGACUGGACAGUUUGAGACACAGGACUGGAGUAUGACCUGCUCAUUUGAGCGUUGCUGGGUAGCUCAGAGACAUCAAGAGAAUCUACGUUUUCUCAAGCAAUGAGUUACGAGUUGGGGCCUAGAAUCAGAGAAGUCCACCAGCCUGCUAAAUCUUUUUGAAACGUAAUUUGAAGGCAUUCAAUCAUCCUGAAGUUGCCCUGGGUCACUGUAAUUGUGCUGCAGCACAACUGGCAACUCCCCAGGCCUUUGUGAAGCAGCUCCCUAUGUGCAUCUUUUGUGUACUCACUCUGUGCAUUUUCUGUGUACAAAUUUCUAUUAUUGAUUUAUUAAAUAUUUUUGCCGACCACAAA